GAUCGGCCUAUCCUUCGGGGAUACUAAGCGGCGGACGGGUGAGUACACGUAUGCACCUGCCUGUAAGAUCGGGAUAACUCACGGAAACGUGUGCUAAUACCGGAUAAAUAAUCUUCUCGCAUGAUGGGGUUAUGAAAGACGGAGCAAUCUGUCACUUACAGAUGGGCCUGCGGCGCAUAAGCUAGUUGGUGGGGUAAAGGCCUACCAAGGCGACGAUGCUUAUCCGACCUGAUAUGGUGAACGGCCACUCUGGGACUGAGACACGGUCCAUACUCCUACGGGAGGCAGCAGUAUGGAAUCUUCCGCAAUGGACGAAAGUCUGACGGAUCAACGCCGCGUGAGUGAUGAAUGUUUUCGGAUCGUAAAGCUCUGUUGCCAGUGAAGAACGCUUGGAGGAGUAACUGCCUUCAAUGUGACGGUACCUGAGAAGAAAGCCCCGGCUAACUACGUGCCAUCAGCCGCGGUAAU
rnacentral:rRNA from 1 species